UCGUCAGCGUAGAUUUUUAUUCUCAAUUUCCCCUAAUUUUCAUUUGCUCCUCGUUCUGUCACAAAAGGGGAGAAGAAUUUAGAAAGUUCUCUGCAAGCAUUGCAAAUGAUUGAUAUUCAAGACUGACCAAAUUAGAGGAACUGCAGAUUUCUUGGUAUCUCCUUUCCUGUCAAUAAAAAAUGGCCUAAGAAAAGAUUGCCCAUUUUCCGAUAAUACAGAAACAAAGUGUUCCAAGAAGCUGAGAUAUCUACCAGCAAGGGUGUGGUGCCCCAACAGAUGUUGCCAGGCUGAUUUGUAGAUGACCUUAAAGUCCGGUUUGCUGUACAGUGUGCACUAGAAGGAAGUAUAACUUGAGAUUCAAAUCAAAUUAAACGAGACGGUUAACAACUUUUUUCUUUUGAGAUCAAAUUAUAAUGUUGGGUGAGCUGGAACCAUAACUUGAAUGCACCUGCAAGUGUCAAUUGGGUAUAUUUGGUGUCACUUCAACCGUGCAUCAAGAUUCCUGACAAUUCGUCCGCUGUUCAAAUCCUAUGUUAUGGUUUCCUAACUUAAAGUCUUUGUAGCAGUGACUUUAGCAGUUUUCUAGAUUAUGAGGUACACAUCUAGGAUUAGCCUUACAUACUGAUUAUCAUCAUAUAUAUCUUGUUUUGAAUGUUCAAACUUUAGUACUAAUCAAUGGCAUAAACUAUGAUAUUCGGUCUUCAGACGUCUGCAAGAAAUUGAAGAGCCCAAUUAAGAAGAGCAACUUGAAACUCAAAUUUGAUGCAUGUUUUUUCUCCGUGAUCAAGUUAUGCUCUAAGAUAUACAUUUGGUGACUUUCCAUAUUGCACACUCAAUUGAUUGUUAAAAUCAUUUCACAGAUAAUCACGGCUACAAAUCUCUGCAAAGAGCACGUAAUAGUAAGCUUCAAUUAAUGGAUUUUCAAAUUUCUCUGACAGUCUUCUCUUAUUGUCAGUCUUGUUGUCUUAACUAAGAGGCCAACCUCUUUGAGUGCACCACUUCAUACCACCGUAUGGAGGGUAAUAGCCUACAGAUUGCAGAUAAGGCAAUGGACAUAAGUCUCUAUAAGCCGAAUUUUGUUUGUAAUUAUUCGAUGAAUACAGUAUGUGUAUUACUUAGAAAUAUUACUGAAAACUUCUAUCAAUGAAAUUGUCUAUGACUAAAAUUCUAAAUUAUCAUAGCUGGGCUUUUAUCCAAUUUGAAUUGUAUUUCCUACAAUUAAAGCCUCAUUGUUAGUGAGAAGUUGAAAUAAGAUAAGCAGUUUUCUUGCCAUAGGAUAAUGAUUAUUUUGUGAGAAUUUGCUAACUGAUUUGAAAAAAUUGAGGGAGGCAUCACAAAUUUAGGGAAAAAGUUAGACCAUACAGGCAUGAAUGUUAAAUCUAAAAUGCUUACAUAAAUUAGUUUUGCAGUCUACCCAGAAAAGAAUUAGGGAUAUUAGCUAAUUGCUAAUCAAGGUUGAACAAAUUUGUGCCUAGUCAAUACUGUCCAGCUUUAAGCUUUACUAUCACUCACUGUAGUGCUUCAACUUGUGACACAUAUAACCUACUGGAAAACGUAAUUCUAUUCUUGUUGUGACUGAAUUCAUGUUGAAUGUUUGUUUAUGCUGGUUUGAAAAGUUGACAGAUUUUUACUUAAAUGGGUAAAUUUGAAGUCCACUUCUAGACGGGAGUAGUUGAAAGAGUUGGAUACUCUCUCUUUAGUGCAAAACAUCAAAAGCUAAUGCCAAUUGCAUCAGAAUGUGUAGUGUGGUGGUCAGUAGAGAAAUCAUUGCUGCCUGUAUAUAAGACUCCAAUCUUUGAUAAUAGGUGACCUCAUCUGCUGUGACAAUAGAAUGUCUUCUCUAAGGACUGAUGUUAUGUGCUGAAGCCAAAUCAAGGGAGAUAUGGCAAGCUACAAUGAUCCACAUUGCCCAAGAAGGUGGCUGUUUUGUUCUAUCUACGAACCAAUUCUGCAGAAAAGGAAGACUAUCUACUGUCAACAGAAUGUAUUUCUGGAGGUUCAAAUGGUGAUUCGUAUGUCAAUACAAUCAGAUGGGACCAUUCUGGCUGGACCUAAUUACUAAGGGAGUCCCUCAUCUGAAGCAAUCUUGUUCACUCUUAUUGUUCCAGAACUUGGAGGGUGUAUUAGCAAAGCUAGAUUUUUAGUGUAUUGAUUAUUCUGUACAGUUCAUGAAUAUGUUAGUCCUGGAAUAUUUGCAAUUGCUGCGAUGAACUUUCAUAUGUAUACUAAAAUGAUGCUGUAUCUUUCC